CCUACGGGAGGCUGCAGUGGGGAAUAUUGCACAAUGGGGGAAACCCUGAUGCAGCGACGCCGCGUGAGUGAAGAAGUAAUUCGUUGUUGAAAGCUCUAUCAGCAAGGAAGAAAAUGACGGUACCUGAGUAAGAAGCCCCGGCUAACUACGUUCCAGCAGCCGCGGUAAUACGGCGGGGGCCACCGUUAUCCGGAUUUACUGGGCGUAAAGGGAGCGUAGACGGCAUUUCAAGUCUGGAGUGAAAGGUGGGGGCUCAACCCCCGAAUUGCACUUGAAACUGUACGGCUGGAGUGCAGGAGAGGUAGGCGGAAUUCGUGGUGUAGCGGUGAAAUGCUUAGAUAUCACGAGGAACACCAGUGGCGAAGGCGGCUUACUAAACUGCCACUGACAUUGAGGCUCGAAAGUGUGGGUAUCAAACAGGAUUAGAUACCCUAGUAGUC
rnacentral:rRNA from 1 species